rnacentral:tRNA from 1 species
GAUUGGAUGGCCGAGUGGUCUAAGGCGCUACCUUAAGGCGGUAGUCUUCGGGCGCGGGUUCGAAUCCCGUUUCAAUCA